rnacentral:rRNA from 1 species
AUUGAACGCUGGCGGCAUGCCUUACACAUGCAAGUCGAACGGUAACGGGCCUUCGGGUGCCGACGAGUGGCGAACGGGUGAGUAAUACAUCGGAACGUGCCCGAUCGUGGGGGAUAACGAGUCGAAAGCUUUGCUAAUACCGCAUACGAUCUACGGAUGAAAGCAGGGGACCGCAAGGCCUUGCGCGGACGGAGCGGCCGAUGGCAGAUUAGGUAGUUGGUGGGGUAAAAGCUUACCAAGCCGACGAUCUGUAGCUGGUCUGAGAGGAUGACCAGCCACACUGGGACUGAGACACGGCCCAGACUCCUACGGGAGGCAGCAGUGGGGAAUUUUGGACAAUGGGCGCAAGCCUGAUCCAGCCGUGCCGCGUGCAGGAUGAAGGCCUUCGGGUUGUAAACUGCUUUUGUACGGAACGAAAAGCCUUCUUUUAAUACAGGAGGGUCAUGACGGUACCGUAAGAAUAAGCACCGGCUAACUACGUG